UACGGAGGGGGCUAGCGUUGUUCGGAAUUACUGGGCGUAAAGCGCGCGUAGGCGGACCUGCAAGUCGGGGGUGAAAGCCCGAGGCUCAACCUCGGAACUGCCUUCGAUACUGCGGGUCUCGAGUCCGGGAGAGGUGAGUGGAAUUCCUAGUGUAGAGGUGAAAUUCGUAGAUAUUAGGAAGAACACCAGUGGCGAAGGCGGCUCAGCUGGCCCGGUACUGACGCUGAGGCGCGAAAGCGUGGGGAGCAAACAGG
rnacentral:rRNA from 1 species